rnacentral:rRNA from 1 species
UACGUAGGGGGCAAGCGUUGUCCGGAAUUACUGGGCGUAAAGGGCGUGUAGGUGGGGGAUUAAGUAAUGGGUGUAAACUCUGGGCUCAACCUAGAGAUUGCCCAUUAAACUGGUUCUCUUGAGGGCAGGAGAGGAAAGCGGAAUUCCUAGUGUAGCGGUGAAAUGCGUAGAUAUUAGGAGGAACACCAGUGGCGAAGGCGGCUUUCUGGACUGACCCUGACACUGAGGCGCGAAAGCCAGGGGAGCGAAC